CUAGCUUGCGACUCUACGUCUUAUAGGAACGCGCUCACUGGCCAAGCACGCGCACUGUCGUGGAUGCAAGGUCCGAUCCCACUUCUGACACCAGUGUAAUGAAACAGGCAGGGAGCAGGUCUCGAAUCCUCGACCUUCUAGCCAGAAGUCCAGCUUGCUAUCGACUGUGCCCCAAAAGCAUGCUCAAGCGGCAGAGUCAGUAUACGCGCUUAUAAAUCCAGGGUCGUUACAGUACUUUUGCAACAAUUAAAAUAUAAGUUAGUUAGUUAGCUACUUGUAACAUGAAUUUGAUAGUGAAUGACUAUACUUUAGAUUUUCCGUGUUCACCCGGAGAUGGCAACGAAAACGCUACAAGACAUGGUGUUCGCAGCUGUCUCUGCAUAGCGGCAAAAUAACUGUCACAUUUGACAAGGGGACAACAGAAAAAUGUCCUGUGUUGCUUUAACCUUAUUACAGCGAACUUGUUGCUCAUGGAAAUGAGUUAACACUUCUACAGACGCAGCGUGUGCAAAAUACAAGAAUAGUCGCAUUAUAUUUUCAGACAGAUGUCAACCUGCCAGUGUGGAUUCUGGGAUCUCUGUUUCAGAUGACACCAGAUGAUGGAGUGUUCCGGGCCUCUCCCCUGACCUUUGACCCUUCAAUGGUGGAAAUAUUUCUGGCGUUGUAGUCAGGGGCGUGCCUCCUCAUUGUCCCCAAGGCAGUGGUGUAAAGUACCUAAGUAUGAAAAUGUAGUACUUUUUCCACCACUGGCCCACGGUGAUUAAGAAAAUGCCCAACAGAGUGACUCAUGUGCUAUUUAAGAAACACAAGACAAGGCUUGUCCUGCAGGAAGAGGUCCUCUCUGCUGGCUUUUCUCUGUGUGUGUUAGCCCUGUGGGGCGAGGCCUGUCCCUCCCCAGCCCUGCUCUGUAGCUGGAGGCAGCAUAGGAAAUGUACUCACAACAUCUAUGGCAUCACUGAGGUGUUCCGCUGGGCCUGCUACUAGCACUUCCCAGAGAGCCUCCUGCAGUCUACUGAUGUGAGUCAGCCCUGAACCCUGAUCAUGUAGUCAUAGCACUAGCUCUUCUGUUUCAGUGAUAUGAGUACGGAGGUACCUUUUACUCAAUUUAUCCAAUUGUUCUUGCAUAAUGUAGUUUUUGUGCUCGCCUCACAGGACUGAAUCCUCUGUGCAGCUGGUCCUCCUCUGAUGGAGACCACAGUUGAAGUAAGAGAUGAGGAUGGCUGUGUUGUUACUCAGGAGGAAGAACAGGUGUUUAUAGGUGGGAUGGAUAGGGUGUGUCUUCUAGACCAGGGGUUCCCAAACUUUUUGACACCGGGCUCCCUUCCAGCGCUGGGGAACAUCUCCCACCCCACGUCUAUUUCUAUGGGCACAAGCACUGUUCACUCCCGUCUUGUUGGUGGAGAUACAUUUUUAAUUCUACACAUUUUGUCAUGGGGUGCAGAGAACAUGUAGCAGUUUUAUAGCAUUUUGAUUUUGCAAUUCUAUACAAUUUGCUAUGUAAACUCAGCAAAAAAAUAAACGUCCCUUUUUCAGGACCCUGUCUUUCAAAGAUAAUUCGUAAA